AACGAACGCUGGCGGCGCGCCUAAUACAUGCAAGUCGAGCGAGAAGACGUAGCAAUACGUUUGUAAAGCGGCGAACGGGUGAGGAAUACAUGGGUAACCUACCCUCGAGUGGGGAAUAACUAGCCGAAAGGUUAGCUAAUACCGCGUACGCUCCUUGGACUUCGGUUCAGGGAGGAAAGCGAUACCGUGGGUAUCGCGCUCUUGGAUGGGCUCAUGUCCUAUCAGCUUGUUGGUGAGGAACGGCUCACCAAGGCUUCGACGGGUAGCUGGUCUGAGAGGACGAUCAGCCACACUGGCACUGCGACACGGGCCAGACUCCUACGGGAGGCAGCAGUAAGGAAUAUUGCGCAAUGGGCGAAAGCCUGACGCAGCGACGCCGCGUGGGGGAUGAAGGUCUUCGGAUUGUAAACCCCUUUCGGGAGGGAAGAUGGAAU
rnacentral:rRNA from 1 species